GGGGUAUUAGUUAAAAAAUAACAUUUAAUUUGCAAUUAAAAAUUAUCCUUAAAGAUUUACCUCA
rnacentral:tRNA from 1 species